rnacentral:rRNA from 1 species
UGGCUCAGGACGAACGCUGGCGGCGUGCCUAACACAUGCAAGUCGAACGGAGUUAUUGUUCAGAUCCCUUCGGGGUGACGAACUUUAACUUAGUGGCGGACGGGUGAGUAACGCGUGAGUAACCUGCCUCUGAGAGGGGAAUAACGUUCUGAAAAGAUCGCUAAUACCGCAUAACAUAUCGAAGUCGCAUGGCUUUGAUAUCAAAGAUUUUAUCGCUCGGAGAUGGACUCGCGUCCGAUUAGCUUGUUGGCGGGUAACGGCCCACCAAGGCGACGAUCGGUAGCCGGACUGAGAGGUUGAUCGGCCACAUUGGGACUGAGACACGGCCCAGACUCCUACGGGAGGCAGCAGUGGGGGAUAUUGCGCAAUGGGGGCAAACCCCCUGACGCAGCAACGCCGCGUGAAGGAAGACGGUUUUCGGAUUGUAAACUUCUUUUGUCAGGGACGAAUUCUGACGGUACCUGACGAAUAAGCUCCGGCUAACUACGUGCCAGCCGCGGC